UACGUAGGGGGGCUAGCGUUGUCCGGAAUCAUUGGGCGUAAAGAGCGUGUAGGCGGCCAGGUAGGUCUGCUGUGAAAACUCGAGGCUCAACCUCGAGACGUCGGCGGAAACCAUCUGGCUAGAGUCCGGAAGAGGAGAGUGGAAUUCCUGGUGUAGCGGUGAAAUGCGCAGAUAUCAGGAGGAACACCGGUGGCGAAGGCGGAUCUCUGGGCAACAACUGACGCUGAGGAGCGAAAGCGUGGGGAGCGAACAGG
rnacentral:rRNA from 1 species